GCUUUUGAUGUCUGCUGUGUAUAAAAUAAAUAAUAUGGGGCCCAAAAUAGAACCUUGCGGUACUCCUUCUACAACCGGUAAAGUGUCAGAUGUCAAGGAGGAAGAACUGUUGUGGGACAGCUGUACACAUUGGUGACGCUCACAUAGGUAACCUGUAACCUGCUCGCAUACUACUUUCUCCAGUACCUUUGAGAGACAUGGCAAGAUACUUAUAGGUCUGAGAUCCUUAACCUCAGCAGGGUUAGGAACUUUAGACAGAGGCCUCACUACAGCCUGCUUCCAGCAAUCAGGAUAAACACCAGUUGUUAUAGAUGUAUUUAUAAUACAUUUAAUUGUGUCUAAAGAAUUAGGUAAAGACAAUAAAACCAUAUCUAAGCUGAUACCAUCACAUCCUACAGCUUUGGAUUUCAAUGAUUUUAUAAUUCUUAUCAAAGAGUCUGUGGAUAUUGUCUCAAGGUGAAAUAUAGCAUCAUUAAAUUUAUGGUAUUCAAAAAAGGUAAUGUAAGAAAGCUGUGUGUUAGGAACUGAUGGUGUCUUCAAGAAGUGCCUGUUAAUCAUAUUAGGGUCAUUAAAGUGCAAAGGGAGUUCUCUUCCAAUUUUAGGUAAAAUUAUUUUUUUUAUAUUUUUCCAUAAUUGCUUAGGUUGUUUGAGUUUACUAUUUAUAUUAAAUUUAAAAUAUGCUACUUUUUCAUUGUAUAGCGCCUUGUUUACUAAUGUUUUUAAACUUUUAUAAUAUUCUUUUUUACUGUCAAGUUUUGUUCUGUGAUACUCCGCUAGUGCUCUGUCACGCAGUCUCAUCAUUAAUUUAAUAGAGUCUGUGACCCAAGGGUGGGAUUUCUUUUUAAUUCUAGCUGUUCUUAUUGGUGCAUGUAGAUUAAAAAGUGCAAGGAUUUGCGAAUUAAAAUUACCUACCAUUUCAUUGACAUCAUGUAGUGUUAAUAUGUUAUCCCAGUUUAUAGCCUGUAAGUCAGUGUUAAAGCUGUCUAUGUUAAUGAAUUUAAUAGGUCUAUAUGUAAUAAGUAUAAGGUUCAGUCUUCUCUUUUUUAAUAUUUAAUUCGCAUCCAACCAAACAAUGACCAUACAAUGAAGCAACAUGUUCAAUAAAUAUAUUUUUUGCUGUGAGAUUAGAACUAAUAGUGUCUAUCAAAGUUUGUGCAGUUUCUGUGAAGUGAGUUGGUGAUGUAAUCAAUUGAUUUAAGCCUAGGCACCUUAGAAAAGUAAUUAGUUUCUUUGAGUUUGAUUGUUCAGGACAAAGAAGAUUUAUAUUAAAAUCACCAGUCAAGAUUAAAUAGUCAUGACUGGGUAUUGCAUUAAUUACAUCUGUAAGAGCGUCAAAAAAUGUGUCUAUAUCCUGCCAUGGGGGUCGAUACGCUGUGCCAAUUACUAAUUUCUUGCCGUUUAUAGAUAGCUUGAGCCACAUAUGCUCAACAGCUCUAUGAAGUGGACCAAUGGAUGGUGAUAGGGUGCUUGUAACUAUACCAUUACGAAUAUAAAAUCCAACUCCUCCACCACGUGAACGUAUAUCUUGAAUUCGUGGCUUGUGGCACAGUUUGUAUCCCAUGAUAUGUGGGGCUCGGAGUUCUUCCCCUGAUCUUAACCAUGUCUCAUUCACAGCAAGUAUAUCCAGGUCAAGCAUAUUGACUUUAGCAACUAUGUUAUCAUGAUUUGUGCCUAGAGAUCCUGCAUUAUACAACCCAACUUUAAGAGAUUUGUGAAUCAUUUUUGUUUUUUGUUAAUGACAUAUAUAGUAAUACAAGCAUGCAAUGACCCAAACUGAGAGAAAGAAAAUUGUCAUAAAAGCAUAUGUGAAUGAUGUUUACUAAUAAAAUUAUAAAGUUGUGUAUAUCAA